UUUCUACUCCAUCCAUCCGUCCAACAAAAGAUGUCCCAAGUUUCUCAAAAUUUUGAUGUAUCUAGACAUGAGUUAGUGUAUAUAUGCAUUCAAAUUUAGUCAAACUUGAGACAUCAUUUGUUUGACGGAGGAAGUAAAAU
rnacentral:pre_miRNA from 1 species